UACGAAGGGUGCAAGCGUUACUCGGAAUUACUGGGCGUAAAGCGUGCGUAGGUGGUUCGUUAAGUCUGAUGUGAAAGCCCUGGGCUCAACCUGGGAAUGGCAUUGGAUACUGGCGACCUAGAGUGCGGUAGAGGGUGGCGGAAUUCCCGGUGUAGCAGUGAAAUGCGUAGAUAUCGGGAGGAACACCAAUGGCGAAGGCAGCUCGCUGGGACGGUACUGACGCUGAGACGCGAAAGCGUGGGGAGCAAACAGG
rnacentral:rRNA from 1 species